AUUGAACGCUGGCGGCAUGCCUUACACAUGCAAGUCGAACGGCAGCACGGGUGCUUGCACCUGGUGGCGAGUGGCGAACGGGUGAGUAAUACAUCGGAACAUGUCCUGUAGUGGGGGAUAGCCCGGCGAAAGCCGGAUUAAUACCGCAUACGAUCUACGGAUGAAAGCGGGGGCCCUUCGGGCCUCGCGCUAUAGGGUUGGCCGAUGGCUGAUUAGCUAGUUGGUGGGGUAAAGGCCUACCAAGGCGAUGAUCAGUAGCUGGUCUGAGAGGACGACCAGCCACACUGGGACUGAGACACGGCCCAGACUCCUACGGGAGGCAGCAGUGGGGAAUUUUGGACAAUGGGCGAAAGCCUGAUCCAGCAAUGCCGCGUGUGUGAAGAAGGCCUUCGGGUUGUAAAGCACUUUUGUCCGGAAAGAAAUCCUUGGCCCUAAUACGGUCGGGGGAUGACGGUACCGGAAGAAUAAGCACCGGCUAACUACGUG
rnacentral:rRNA from 1 species